AUGAACGCUGGCGGCGUGCCUAAUACAUGCAAGUCGAGCGAACAGACGAGGAGCUUGCUCCUCUGACGUUAGCGGCGGACGGGUGAGUAACACGUGGAUAACCUACCUAUAAGACUGGGAUAACUUCGGGAAACCGGAGCUAAUACCGGAUAAUAUAUUGAACCGCAUGGUUCAAUAGUGAAAGACGGUUUUGCUGUCACUUAUAGAUGGAUCCGCGCCGCAUUAGCUAGUUGGUAAGGUAACGGCUUACCAAGGCAACGAUGCGUAGCCGACCUGAGAGGGUGAGCGGCCACACGGGAACUGAGACACGGUCCAGACUCCUACGGGAGGCAGCAGUAGGGAAUCUUCCGCAAUGGGCGAAAGCCUGACGGAGCAACGCCGCGUGAGUGAUGAAGGUCUUCGGAUCGUAAAACUCUGUUAUUAGGGAAGAACAAAUGUGUAAGUAACUAUGCACGUCUUGACGGUACCUAAUCAGAAAGCCACGGCUAACUACGUG
rnacentral:rRNA from 1 species